GCACAGAACAUUCUCCAAUAGUAGCUGCCCACUGCUAGAGGAAGGUGCACAGAAGGUAACUACAGCAACAGGGAAACAACAUCUCAACCACUGACUAGAUUCUCUCUCUUUGGAAUUUGUUCACCUGGUUGCCUGACAGAAUAGGCAUCUCCAUUUCCAGGAAUAACUAUUCUUUCCUUCAGUUUAUACUGUUAUUCUAUGGACAAUAUUUGGAAUUCUAUAAAAAAUUAUGAAAUAUAUGAAAAAAAACACAACCAUUUUCAAGAGAUAAAGCAAUCAACAGACCCAGACCCAGAGAUGACUCAGAUGUUGGAAAUACCAGAUGAGGACUUUAAUUAUGAUUGAUAUAUUACAGGAACAAGUAGAAAAAGUAGGCCUCAUGCAUGAACAGUUGGGGAAUUUCAGCAGAGAAAUGUAAACUCUAAAAAGAGUCAUAUGGACA
rnacentral:lncRNA from 1 species